rfam:Aedes aegypti strain Liverpool supercont1.131 genomic scaffold, whole genome shotgun sequence.
CAAUCGGCCCUUUUCAGGGCCAACAAAAGUGUAUUUAAGAAUUUGU